CUUCCUGUGGUCUAAUUUUAGGGUUAACAGAGGUCGUUUUGGUCUGGUUGGGGCUGUGUAAGCUUUUCUUGGUCUAAUUUUGGGGUUAACAGAGGUCGUCUUGGUCUGGUUGGGAUUGUGUAAGCUUCUCGUGGUCUAAUUUUGGGGUUAACAGAGGUCGUCUUGGUCUGGUUGGGGUUGUGUAAGGUUUUUGUGGUCUAAUUUUGGGGUUAACAGAGGUCGUCUUGGUCUGGUUGGGGUUGUGUAAGGUUUUUGUGGUCUAAUUUUGGGGUUAACAGAGGUCGUCUUGGUCUGGUUGGGGUUGUGUAAGGUUUUUGUGGUCUAAUUUUGGGGUUAACAGAGGUCGUUUAGGUCUGGUUGGGGUUGUGUAAGCUUCCUGUGGUCUAAUUUUGGGGUUAACAGAGGUCGUCUUGGUCUGGUUGGGAUUGGGUAAGCUUCUCGUGGUCUAAUUUUGGGGUUAACAGAGGUCGUUUAGGUCUGGUUGGGGUUGUGUAAGCUUCCUGUGGUCUAAUUUUGGGGUUAACAGAGGUCGUCUUGGUCUGGUUGCUUGGGUCUGUUUUGGUCUGUACUGGACUUCGUUAGGUUUGAUUCUUGUCAUUUUUCGUCUUGCUCAAGCUGGUCUAUAGUAAUUUUGGUAUGUAUUGGGCUUGGUUGGGCUUGAUUCUUGUCGUUUUCCGUCUUGCUCAAGCUGGUCUAUGGUAAUUUUGGUCUGUACUGGGCUUGACUGGGCUUGAUUCUUCUCGCUUUUCGUCUUUCUCAAGCUGUUCCGUAAUAAGCUUGGUCUGUGUAGGUUUUGACUCUGUUCUUUUAUCGGUCUGUGUUAAUCUGUUUUGUGAUAAUCUUGCUCCGAAGGUGAUUCUGGGUCUAUUCUGGUCUUAUCAUUGGUCUGGGCUCAAACUUAUGCGUGACAGUUCUGCUCUGUAAGUAAUUUUGUCUGGGCAGGGUUUGAUUUUGGUCUUAUUUUCGGUCUAAGAGUCAUAUUCCCAAGCUCACCUAUUUGACAAAGCUUUCCUAGGAGUUUUGAGCAUUUUCAUGGGUAGCUUCAUGACCCUGGCGGUAGUCUGACCCCUCUCCUGAACCAUGAACCUAAACAAACACUCAAUAAAACCCAACUGAUCUCAUUUUUGGCCUUUGGAAAGAGUUGAUGUGAGAGGCGGAACCGUCUGAGAAUACCAUCCUAAGUCAUCAUCAUCAUCAUUAUCAUCAUUUAACGUCCAUUUAUUCCCUAUGGUGGGGUUGGACGGGAUAUGAGCCUCCUCCACUGUUGCCGGUCUAUAGCUAUUUCUUCCGUGAUGUUCAGCCUCAUAUCUUCCUCCACCACCUUUCUCCACGUCUCCCUUGGCCUUCCUGGUGUCCUCUAAGUCAAUCUUGUGUAUGCUAACCUUGGCCUCUACAUAAUUCGGCCCCUGUAGACUUUGGUACUGGUCAUAUAUUCAGCCUGAGUCAGUCUUGUGUAUGCUAACCUUGGCCUCUACAUAAUUCGGCCCCUGUAGGCUUUGGUACUGGUCAUAUAUUUAGCCUGAGUCAGUCUUGUGUAUGCUAACCUUGGUCUGUACGUGAUAAAGUAUGUGAAAGGUUUAGUUCUGGUCAUAUAUCCGGGCUGCGUCAAACCAGUGUAUGCUAACCCUGCUCUACAAGUGAUUGGGUCUCUGUGGGCAUCUGUUCCGGUCAUAAUUUCAACCUGUAAGUAGCGGGCUUUUUUUUCUUUUCUUUUUUUUACGCCCAUGAACUGUCUCCUUAGCUGUAAAAAAAAAAAAAAAAACCCUAUGUCUAACUGAAGCGUGAUAAUCCGUUGCUACUUUAAAAUCAGCACCGUCGUGGCUAUAGUUGAGGUGUUCCUGAUCGUGUCAAAUUCCAGUUCGUGUCUGCGGUUACUCAAUCUUUUUUUCGUCCGACUGGUCCAAGUCAUGCACGCUGGACGGACAUUCACACUUUCGCCACUUUGCACACGUGUAGCGCCACUGCAACACACACACAUAAGUUUUACCGGUCAAUGCAGAUCUAGAUAACUCCUCCUUCUCCUUCCUUCCUCUUCCUUCUUUCUCCUCC